CCCUUAGAUGUCCGGGGCUGCACGCGCGCUACACUGAAGGAAUCAGCGUGCUAAAACCAUUGUCGAAAGGCAUUGGUAAACCCAUUAAAAUCCUACGUGAUUGGGAUCGGGAAUUGCAAUUAUUUCCCUUGAACGAGGAAUUCCCAGUAAGUGUGGGUCAUAAGCUCGCGUUGAUUACGUCCCUGCCCUUUGUACACACCGCCCGUCGCUGCCCGGGACUGAGCCGUUUCGAGAAAAGCGGGGACUGCUGCUGUCGGGGCUUUCGGGCCUUGGCUUCGGUGGGAACCGCUUUAAUCGCAGUGGCUUGAACCGGGCAAAAGUCGUANCA
rnacentral:rRNA from 1 species